rnacentral:rRNA from 1 species
GAUGAACGCUGGCGGCGUGCCUAAUACAUGCAAGUCGAGCGAACGGACGAGAAGCUUGCUUCUCUGAUGUUAGCGGCGGACGGGUGAGUAACACGUGGAUAACCUACCUAUAAGACUGGGAUAACUUCGGGAAACCGGAGCUAAUACCGGAUGAUAUUUUGAACCGCAUGGUUCAAAAGUGAAAGACGGUCUUGCUGUCACUUAUAGAUGGAUCCGCGCUGCAUUAGCUAGUUGGUAAGGUAACGGCUUACCAAGGCAACGAUGCAUAGCCGACCUGAGAGGGUGGUCGGCCACACGGGAACGGAGACACGGUCCAGGCUCCUACGGGAGGCAGCAGUAGGGAAUCGUCCGCAAUGGGCGGAAGCCUGACGGAGCAACGCCGCGUGAGUGAUGAAGGUCUUCGGAGCGUAAAACUCUGUUAUUAGGGAAGAACAUAUGUGUAAGGAACUGUGCACAUCUUGACGGUACCUAAUCAGAAAGCCACGGCUAACUACGUG